GGCGAGGUGGCCGAGUGGUUAAGGCGACAGACUAGAAUCAUCUGUCCCCAGAUCUUUCAGCCAUCUGUUGGGUUCGCCCGCGUAGGUUCAAAUCCUGCCCUCGUCG
rnacentral:tRNA from 1 species